GUUUGGAAUAGGAGAAUUUAAUCUUGAAAGGUUUACUUUUUUUUUGAAAAGUCAAGAAAUUUUCAGUCUGACGCUAAAGUUUGGACAGAAUACUAAAGAAUGGGACUGCAUGGGCAUCUUAAAGAGUCAGGGAAGACAUGAGAUGUAUGCAAACAGGUUCAAUGGUCUCAUAAAUCCUGUGAUUGGCUGGGUUUUCCCAUGAUCUUUCCAAAGAAAAAAGGAAAGAGAAUGAAAAACAAAACAGAGAGUGACAACAAAAACAGCCUAAAAUUCUCCUACCCAAAGGAACAGUCCAAAAUAGACCUUUGCAAGAAGAUAAGGAAAUGGGAUCUUGCUGGUAAGACUAUUUUGAUAUCUUGAGUAGAGUGUGCACAGUUUAGUGUAUUAGGAGUUCCGAGUUGCCCCAAACAGAUGAGGAACAGAAGGGUCAGGUGCUCAAGUUGUUGCCGUCCCCUUUGUCACCUGUAGAACAUUAGCGUCCCCAGUGAUCAUUUUUACUAUCUGUUAGGGACAUCACCAUGUGCUUUGUAAUGGACCAAUUCCAGAUUGUCUAAAGGACAGUGUUAUAGUUCUUGGGCCCCCAAACUCCCUUUCAUUCAGGGAUGUCAAAUUGUCAGUUGCCAAGGCUGCCUGCCUGGUCAAUAUCUAUGACAUCAGAAAUGGUGACAACCUGGGAGAAUCUUUGUCCAGGUCUUGUGAAGAGACUGUCUUGAUGUUGCUGCUGAGACAGUGGGCUCAUAGCUCAGGUUAAAUCUGGUUAAUGGGGUUGUUCAAAAUGAGAGUCGACAUUUACUGAGCACUUGCCAUGUGCCAGGCUUCAUGAUGAGUUCGUCGCAGACGCCAGGCCAUUUAAUCUUUACAGCAGCUCUAGGAGAAGCAGGGGAUUCACCUCCCGGCAGGGCUGCGGCAGACCCUUCUCUUUCAAGUCGGGUAAAUGCAGACUCCCGCGGCAUCGGGAGAGUAGAUCCAAUGGUCUCACAAGAAAAAGCUUGCCACCCCUGGUGUGGAUAAAGAUGUGCUUGGUAAAUAGAAUGGAAGCAAAGGGGAGAAAAGUGGAAAAAGAGGAAGGUUUUCAAGAAGAGCAAGGACAAAAGAAAGGGUUACUAAGUGAAAGACAUAGUUUGGAGAUGCUGAGGUUCCCCAGGAGGAUGCCUGAGAAUGACAUCAACAGAGAGGAAAGCAAAACCUAGGGAUGGAGAAGGACCAAGUGCUAGUAAUGUCUCUUGGAUCCAUGAGCCACUGGCCAUGCUGGUGGCCAGCCUAACCGCUGGUCUCCUUAGUUACAUGCGCCAAUCAACUCCCCUUCCCUUUUUAAGCCAGUGUGAAUUGGGUUUCUGUCACUUGCAAUGGAAACAGUCUUGAGGAUUACACAGGGCCACUGAGAGGUUUUAAGGCAAAUAUCAAUAUGAUCAGAUACAAUUACUGGGUCUAAGACUGAAGGCAGGAAGAUGAGUAUGAAGGCUAUUGUCCUUGUCCCGAGGAAAUACAGUGCAAGCUGGCCUUGGGCAAUGGUAGGGGACAGUGAAGGGGACAGAUUUGGGAAAUGGUUAGGAGGUAAAGCCAGCAGUGCUUAUGGUUGCUAAUUUUAUCCGGGUUAAUGGCCACACUCCACAGCCCUGCUUGCAGCAGGAACAGUCACGUGACUAAGCAGGAGCUGGUGGGAAGUGUGCAGAAGUGAUGUGUGCAAUCCCCUGGGCGUGUCUUUGAAAGGAAGCUGCUUAUCCUCUACUUCUAUUUGUCUUCCUCUUCCUCCUCCCCUGACUGUUGAUGGGCUGAAAUAUGGACGUGGUGACUGUCGGCAAGCUGAGCCAUGAAGAUGAAGCCAAUGCUCUAGGAAUGACAGUGCUCCAAAACCCUGGGUUCUGAUGGCCUCAUGGAACAAAACUGCCUACCUUCCUGACCACUUGCCACCUUUGCCUUUUAAUGAGAGAGAAUGGAAACUUUUAUCUUGUUUAAGCCACUGUUUCUCUGUCUCUCAAGGCAGCUGAGACAUUAUCCUAAUUAACGUGGUAGCCAUUUAAAUCUAGAGGGUGAGGAGGAGGAAGACGUCCAGAGGGAAGGGUAGCUGGGCAGAUCUGUAUUUCAGAAAGAUUGCUGUGGUGGAGAGCAGAUUUGGAGGGUGGCACUAACUGAUGACAUGGAGGCCAGUGUAGUGGUCCAAGGGGGAGAAAAUGGCAUUUGGAACUAGGGUAGUGGUAGAUGGGACAGAAGAAGAUACGUGGAUGGACUAGAAAUACGUUUAGGAGUUAGAACCCAUGGGAUAUGAUGACUAUGAUUGACUAUGAUUGACUAUGGGGUGAGGGGAAAGAAAGAUUCAAGCUGCCUUAUGCCAUUGUCUAGAAGAUGGCACCAUUUAUUGAGUUUGGGACCAAAGGGGUGGGACAGGUUUGAAGGGGAAGAAAAUGAAGUCAAGUUGGGACACACUGAGUUUGAGAUGUGACAUCCAAGAGGGCAUGUCCCCUAGGCUUUAGGCUACAGGGGCCCAAAGCUAAGCAGAGAAAGUGGAACUAGAGGGAAAGAUGGCAGAAGAUAAAUGGCAGUGGAAUUCAAGAGUACUGAUGGAAUCGCCCAAGAAGGGGACAAGGUCUAGAGCACAGCCUCAAGAGAGCAACAUUUAUGCAAAAGAAACAUCUGAGAGAGAGACUGAGAAGGAGUGGCCAGAGACGUAGGGGGAAGAUGGAAUAGGAAAAGGUGGAUUUUGCAAGGAGGAGGUGGGUUAGAAAUAGCCUGCUGCUGAGAGGCUAAAGGAGAAAGCUUCUGGAAGUGUCCAGUAGAUUUGGUAACAAAGGAGUUGACGACCUUGACAAGGGUAAUUUUAGGGGAGUGGUCAGGGCAGAAACCAACUGGGAGUGCUUUGAAAGUGAGUGGGGUAAGAUAGAGAAGACAGAGUGAAGACAACCCCUUCAAGAAGUUGGUUAUAAACAGAAAGCAAGGAAUUAGGUGUCUGUUGGCAGAUGGCAUUCGAUUCCAGUGGUUUACUGAGGACCUGCUCUGUACUCAGCACCGUGCUAAAUGCUGCAAGGGAGCCAGGAUACAGAACAUGGAGCCCAGAAUGGAGACUAUAGGAAGCAGAGUUCUUGUUCCUUCCCACCAUGCUUGCCAGGACUUCCCUAAGGACAUCCAACUGGUACAGAGGAUGACUGCUGUGCUGGCGGAGGUAACAUCAAGAGACAGGAGCUUGUCAUUGGGGGCCCUGGAGACAGAGAUCAGAAGCUCAAAUGACUACAAGGAAGAUAUUUGGAGCCAACAUCACGACCUAUUCAGAACCCUGCUCUGGAGUCAGGCUGCCUGGGCUCGGAUCCCAGCUCUGCCACUUACGUUGAGCUUGGUUUUCAGCAAGUUGCCUAACUUCCCAGGGCCUCAGUGUGUCUUUAUACGCCACUGGCAGCUUAGAGUGCUAAGAAACUGGGUGGCAUUUGCCGAUUGAUGGCCCGGAAAUUGUGCCUCCUACUUUGUAGGGUUUUUUGGAG
rnacentral:lncRNA from 1 species